rnacentral:rRNA from 1 species
UACGAAGGGGGCUAGCGUUGCUCGGAAUUACUGGGCGUAAAGGGCGCGUAGGCGGAUAGUUCAGUUGGGGGUGAAAUCCUGCGGCUUAACCGCAGGGCUGCCUUCUAAACUGUCAGGCUAGAGCACAGUAGAGGCAGGUGGAAUUCCCGGUGUAGCGGUGAAAUGUGUAGAGAUCGGGAGGAACACCGGUGGCGAAGGCGGGUCUCUGGGCAAUUCCUGACGCUGAGGCGCGAAAGCGUGGGGAGCAAACGGG